rnacentral:lncRNA from 1 species
CCUCCUAGACGAGCUGAUUUUGUCUUGAUUCAAGAUACCAUAAAUGGAGCCAUAUGAUGACUCCACUGAUCUAAUUGAUCACCUAGAGAGCUAUAAGGCUCUCAUGAUGAUUCAGGGGGCAACCGACGUCCUCUUAUGCAUCGACUUCCUGAUGACUAUUCGGAAGGCUGCUUGAGCUUGAAGAAAAGGGUGAACCAGCC